rnacentral:rRNA from 1 species
AAGUCGUAACAAGGUCUCCGUAGGUGAACCUGCGGAGGGAUCAUUCGUGAAUGACCUCGACGGUCUUCAACCCUUCCACCCCCGUGGAGUAGGAGUCGUGCCUUCGGCCCCAGUGGCCGGCGUUCAUGCGGUAGACUCUGUCUGACACAUUGACGAAAAUCAAAACUUUCAACAAAGGAUCUCUUGGCUCUCACAUCGAUGAAGAACGCAGCGAAGCGCGAAAUGUAGUGUGAAUCGCGGAAUUUGUGAAUCAUCGAAUCUUUGAACGCACAUUGCGCCUCCCGUUACGGGGAGGCAUGCCUGUCUGAGCGUCGUUUAAACCCACAUGCCCGUGCGUGUGUUGGGCCCUCGCUGGCGACGGCGUGGCCUCGAAGCGAUCGGCUAGGGAGCGGACCAAGUCCCCUGGGAUGAACCGCCCUCGGCCCUCGAACUCGAUUGAGAUCAAGACCUCAGACCAGGUAGGACCACCGCCUGAACUUAA